AUGUUGGAUGAAGGGAAAGAAGGUGAGCAUUCCUCUUGAGAUGGGUGGAAGAGGUCCUAGUGGCCUUUACAACACCUAUACGGUUAAAGCAUUGCCACCUAUUUCGUGGCAUCUAACCAAGUAAUCCC